rnacentral:misc_RNA from 1 species
GAUGAAGAACGCAGCGAAAUGCGAUACUUGGUGUGAAUUGCAGAAUCCCGUGAACCAUCGAGUCUUUGAACGCAAGUUGCGCCUCAAGCCAUUAGGUUGAGGGCACGUCUGCCUGGGCGUCACAUAUCGUUGCCUGAUGCCAGUUUCCUCGUGAUGGGUGACUGUGCAGGGCGAAUGAUGGCUUCCCGUGAGCAUUGUUGCCUCAUGGUUGGUUGAAAAUUGAGUCCUUGGUAGGGAGCGCCGUGAUAGAUGGUGGUUGAGUGACGAACGAGACCCAAUCAUGUGAGACCCCUACCGAAUUUGGCCUUCAUGACCCACAUGCGUCUUUAGAACGCUCAUGACGAGACCUCAGGUCAGGCGGGGCUACCCGCUGAGUUUAAGCAUAUCAAUAAGCGGAGGA